UACGUAGGAGGCGAGCGUUGUCCGGAAUCACUGGGUGUAAAGCGCGUGUAGGCGGCCUGCCAAGUCUGCUGUGAAAGCGCCUGGCUUAACCGGGCGAGGUCGGUGGAAACUGGCGGGCUGGAGGACGGUAGAGGGGGGUGGAAUUCCCGGUGUAGUGGUGAAAUGCGUAGAGAUCGGGAGGAACACCAGUGGCGAAGGCGGCCCCCUGGGCCGUUCCUGACGCUGAGACGCGAAGGCGCGGGGAGCAAACAGG
rnacentral:rRNA from 1 species